AAUCUCCCCCAAAUUCACCCCAAAAUCCAAUGGGAACCCCAAAAUCCCCAAAUUCACCCCAAAACUCACCUGGAACCCCCAAAUCCUCCAAAUUCACCCCAAAAUCCCCAAAUUCACCCCAAAAUUCACCCCAAAAUUCUAAAAUUCCCCAAAUCCACCCCAAAAUCCCCCAAAUUCACCCCAAAAUCCCCCUGGGACCCCCCCAAAAUCCCCUCCCAGGCUUCACCUGCGGGGUGGGCGGAGCUUCGGCGUCACCCCCAACAUCUGGAUGGGGGGGUCCCUCCACACCUGGAUCGGGGGGUUCCUCCACAUCUGGAUGGGGGGGCUCCUCCCCCUCCACAUCUGGAAUCCUGGGGGGCGGGAACAGCUGGGUGUCCACAUCUGGAACGCCGGGGGGCUCCUCCCCCUCCACAUCUGGAUCCCCGGGGGGCUCCUCCCCCUCCACAUCUGGAACACCGGGGGGCUCCGGGCCCCCCACAUCUGGAUGGGGGGGUUCCUCCUGCCCCACAUCUGGAAUCCUCGGGGGCGGGAACAGCUGGGUGGCCACAUCUGGAACGCCGGGGGGCUCCUCCCCCUCCACAUCUGGAUCCCUGGGGGUCACGAACAGCUGGGUGGCCACAUCUGGAUCCGGGCUCGCCACCCCUCCCCCCGCCGGGAUUUUGGGGCCUCUGGGGGCCGCAUUUGGGGGCAGGAACAGCUGGGUGGCCACAUCUGGAUCGGGGGAGGGCGGCCCCUCCGCCACAUCUGGAAGGCCGGGGCUUCCCGGGCUGCCAACAUCUGGGGAGGGCAGGAAGGGCUGGGUGGGCACAUCUGGAUCCGACUCCUCCUCCUCCUCCACAUCUGGAUCCGGCUCCUCCUCCUCCACAUCUGGAUCCGGCUCCUCCUCCUCCACAUCUGGAAUUCGGGGCGGCAGGAACAGCUGGGUGGCCACAUCUGGAUCCCACCCCUCCCCUCCCCCCGCCACAUCUGGAGCCCCGGGCGGCCCCGGGGCGAUCCGCCGCCUCUUGGGGGGCCGAACAUCUGGAUCCUCCUCCCCCUCCUCCACAUCUGGAGCUUCCGGGAGGUUUUGGGUCGUUUUGGGCCUUUCUGGGGGCUCCACAUCUGGAUCCUCCUCCUCCACGUCUGUGUCGCUCUCCACCCGGCACCGGAUUUUGGGGCUGGCAACAUCUGGAUCUGCAGCCACAUCUGGAAUUCCUGACAGGUCUUGGGUCAUUCUGAGCCUUUUUGGGGGCUCCACAUCUGGAUCCGCGGCCACAUCUGGAGUUCCUGGGAGGUUUUGGGUCAUCUUGGGGGGCUCCACAUCUGGAUCCGCGGCCACAUCUGGCGUCUCGGGCACCUUUUGGGUCACUCUGAGCCUUUCUGGGGACUCCACAUCUGGAUCCUCCCCCUCCACGUCCGUGUCACUCUCCACCCGGCACCAGAUUUUGGAGCUGACAACAUCUGGAUCCGCGGCCACAUCUGGAGUUUCCGGGACAUUUUGGGUCAUUCUGAGCCUUUUCGGGGGCUCCACAUCUGGAUCCUCCCCCUCUAUAUCCGUGUCGCUCUCCACCCGGCACCAGAUUUUGGGGCCGGCCACAUCUGGAUCCGGCUUUGGGGCCACAUCUGGAGUUCCUGGGAGGUCUUGGGUAUUCCUGAGGGGCUCCACAUCUGGAUCUGUGGCCACAUCUGGAGUUUCCAGGAGGUUUUGGGUCAUUUUCGGCCUUUUUGGGGGCUCCACAUCUGGAUCCUCCUCCACAUCUGUGUCACUCUCCACCUGGCACCACAUUUUGGGGGGCUCCACAUCUGGAUCCGCGGCCACAUCUGGAGUUUCCGGGACCUUUUGGGUCACUCUGAGCCUUUCUGGGGACUCCACAUCUGGAUCCUCCCCCUCCACGUCCGUGUCACUCUCCACCCGGCACCAGAUUUUGGAGCUGACAACAUCUGGAUCCGCGGCCACAUCUGGAGUUUCCGGGACAUUUUGGGUCAUUUUGAACCUUUUUAGGGGCUCCACAUCUGGAUCCGCAGCCACAUCUGGAGUUUCCGGGACAUUUUGGGUCAUUUUGGGGGGCUCCACAUCUGGAUUUGGCUUUGGGGCCACAUCUGGCGUCUCUGGCAGGUUUUGGGUCAUUUUGAACCUUUCUGGGGGCUGCACAUCUGGAUCCUCCUCCACAUCGGUGUCACUCUCCACCUGGCACCGGAUUUUGGGGCCGGCCACAUCUGGAUCCGGCUUUGGGGCCACAUCUGGAGUUCCUGGGAGGUUUUGGGUAAUUUUGGGCCUUUCUNGCUGGGGACAGAUGGGAACAUUGGGGACAGCUGGGGACAGAUGGGAACAUUGGGGACAGCUGGGGACAGCUGGGGACAGCUGGGACACUGGGGACAGCUGGGGACAGAUGGGAACAUUGGGGACAGCUGGGAACAUUGGGGACAGCUGGGGACAGCUGGGACACUGGGGACACCUUUGGACACUGGGGACACCUGGGAACACACCUGGGACAUAGCUGGGGACAUCUGCGGCUAGCUGUCUAUUGUCCGUGUCCAUUGUCCCCUGCCAUUGUCACCUGUCCAUUGUCACCUGUCCCUUGUCACCUGUCCAUUGUCACCUGUCCAUUGUUCCCUGUCACCUGUCCAUUGUCCCCUGCCAUUGUCACCUGUCCAUUGUCACUUGUCACCUGUCCAUUGUCCCCUGUCCAUUGUCACCUGUCCAUUGUUCCCUGUCACCUGUCCAUUGUCACCUGUCCAUUGUCACCUGUCCAUUGUCACCUGUCCCUGUCCAUUGUCACCUGUCCAUUGUUCCCUGUCCCCUGUCCAUUGUCACCUGUCCCUGUCCAUUGUCACCUGUCCAUUGUCACCUGUCACCUGUCCAUUGUCACCUGUCCAUUGUUCCCUGUCACCUGUCCAUUGUCCUUGUCCAUUGUCACCUGUCCAUUGUCACCUGUCCAUUGUCACCUGUCCAUUGUCCCCUGUCCAUUGUCACCUGUCCCUGACCAUUGUCACCUGUCCAUUGUCACCUCUCUGUCCCCGUGUUGGGUGGUUUUGGGGCAAUUCCAGUGGUUUUGGGGUAAUUCCAGUGGUUUAGGGUAGGUUUUGGGUUGAUUCUGGGUGAUUUUGGGUGAUUUUGGGGCUGUUUUGGGUGGUUUUGGGGUGGUUUUGGGUGGUUUUGGGGAAUUCCGGUGGUUUUGGGGUAAUUCUGGGUGAUUUUGGGUGGUUUUGGGGUGAUUCUGGGUGAUUUUGGGUGGUUUUGGGUGGUUUUGGGGCAAUUCCGGUGGUUUUGGGGUAAUUCUGGGUGAUUUUGGGUGGUUUUGGGGUGAUUCUGGGUGAUUUUGGGUGGUUUUGGGUGGUUUUGGUGUAAUUCCAGUGGUUUAAGGUGGUGUUGGGGUGAUUCUGGGUGGUUUUGGGGUGAUUUUGGGUGGUUUUGGGGUGAUUCCAGUGCUUUUGGGUGAUUUUGGGUGGUUUUGGGGUAAUUCUGGGUGAUUUUGGGUGGUUUUGGUGUAAUUCCAG
ensembl:lncRNA